CGGGGGAGGCCGGAUCCUGGGCUGUGUCCCGGCGCCCUGUGCUCAGGAACCUGUGCUGUUGGAUUCGCGCUCCCGCCCCGCAGCCCCCU
rnacentral:pre_miRNA from 1 species